rfam:Yersinia ruckeri strain 37551 YRO1b0000031, whole genome shotgun sequence.
ACUCAUAUGUGUAAAUAACACACACGUGUCGGCACAUUCACCGGGGUGCCCUAAAGCCACUGUCUUAUUGCGGAGGCUUGUGGGGUCGGUGUUAUGGGACACGUGGAGGCAUAAC